rnacentral:rRNA from 1 species
UCCUGGCUCAGAUUGAACGCUGGCGGCAUGCUUUACACAUGCAAGUCGAACGGCAGCGGGGGCUUCGGCCUGCCGGCGAGUGGCGAACGGGUGAGUAAUGCAUCGGAACGUGCCCAAGUCGUGGGGGAUAACGUAUCGAAAGGUACGCUAAUACCGCAUACGUCCUGAGGGAGAAAGCGGGGGAUCUUCGGACCUCGCGCGAUUGGAGCGGCCGAUGUCGGAUUAGCUAGUAGGUGAGGUAAAGGCUCACCUAGGCGACGAUCCGUAGCGGGUCUGAGAGGAUGAUCCGCCACACUGGGACUGAGACACGGCCCAGACUCCUACGGGAGGCAGCAGUGGGGAAUUUUGGACAAUGGGCGCAAGCCUGAUCCAGCCAUGCCGCGUGAGUGAAGAAGGCCUCGG